GGCGGAAGAGGAAGUAGUUCCUUUGAAUGUAGACAAUCUGAAUGUUAUAGUUUCUUUCCACUGUGUUCCUGUUAAUGAUAAACUACAAAUGUACUCUAAAUUACUAAAAUAUCGAUAUUUUAAUGUGAGAAUCGAUUCUAGAACAUAAAUGAUUGGUAUCGGAGGAAUUGAUAUUUCAGUAUCGAUCCGCACAUCACUAGUUUUGGAACAAGAAGAAAGGAGUAAAAAGAGCACGAGCGCAUCGUUAAAGCCGACUAACGUGAAAACACGUGACGAGACGAAGUCCGCACAGGCUCAGGGACAGACUUCAUCCUUUUACUUUAACCAUGAAACAUGAAGCUGUCGCUCAUAAUGAGACAGGAGCUCAGCUUUCAGCGUCACAGCUGGAACAACAUCAGCUGACAUGAAAGAAACACAGACGUUUGUUCCUGUUAGCAAAGAUGAAGAUGGAGAGCGUGAGGGAACUACAGAGAGGAGGAGGAGGAGGACACGGGCUGUGAGGGACGCAGUGGAGCAGCCCUCAGACCUGUGUGUCUCACACUGUGAUUACACUCCACACACUCAGUUUCAGUAACACUCAUGAACAACAAUGAAAAGAUAAAGUAAUAAGUUACUGUAGUUCUCAGUUACAGCCUCGUGUUUCCUCCACAUUCGUCUCUUUUUAGACAUCAGCAGGAGCGAGGACGACCCAGCCAG
rnacentral:lncRNA from 1 species